CGAUCUCCAACAAGCGUACAAUAAAGAAUAAUUUAAUAUACUCCUACUCCUCACCUAAACUAAUACAAAUACUCUUCACCCUCUCUCUAAAACAAGAGACAUAUUUAUAGGGAAAAUAAAUGUGUGCCCUAAUUUAGAUUUAUUGAACUUAGUCUCUUUUGUUCCCUUUUCAUGUAGGUUUCAUCUUACUAGUGACAAUCAACUUCUCAAAGAGAUCUUCUAGAUAUAUUUU
rnacentral:lncRNA from 1 species